CAUUAUACCGUGAACUGCGAAUGGCUCAUUAAAUCAGUUAUCGUUUAUUUGAUAGUACCUUACUACUUGGAUAACCGUGGUAAUUCUAGAGCUAAUACAUGCUGAAAACCUCGACUUCGGAAGAGGUGUAUUUAUUAGAUAAAAAACCAAUGCCCUUUCGGGGCUCCUUGGUGAUUCAUGAUAACUUCUCAGAUCGCAUGGCCCUUGCGCCGGCGACGGUUCAUUCAAAUUUCUGCCCUAUCAACUUUCGAUGGUAAGGUAUUGGCUUACCAUGGUUUCAACGGGUAACGGGGAAUUAGGGUUCGAUUCCGGAGAAGGGGCCCGAGAAACGGCCACUACAUCCAAGGAAGGCAGCAGGCGCGCAAAUUACCCAAUCCCGAUACGGGGAGGUAGUGACAAUAAAUACUGAUACAGGGCUCUUUUGGGUCUUGUAAUUGGAAUGAGUACAAUUUAAACCUCUUAACGAGGAACAAUUGGAGGGCAAGUCUGGUGCCAGCAGCCGCGGUAAUUCCAGCUCCAAUAGCGUAUAUUAAAGUUGUUGCAGUUAAAAAGCUCGUAGUUGAACCUUGGGCCUGGCUGGCAGGUCCGCCUCACCGCGUGUACUUGACCGGCCGGGCCUUCUCUUCUGGAGAACCUCAUGCCCUUUACUGGGCGUGUUGGGGACCAGGACUUUUACUUUGAAAAAAUUAGAGUGUUCAAAGCAGGCCUUUGCUCGAAUAUGUUAGCAUGGAAUAAUAGAAUAGGACGUGCGGUCCUAUUUUGUUGGUUUCUAGGACCGCCGUAAUGAUUAAUAGGGACAGUCGGGGGCAUCAGUAUUCAAUUGUCAGAGGUGAAAUUCUUGGAUUUAUUGAAGACUAACUACUGCGAAAGCAUUUGCCAAGGAUGUUUUCAUUAAUCAGUGAACGAAAGUUAGGGGAUCGAAGACGAUCAGAUACCGUCGUAGUCUUAACCAUAAACUAUGCCGACUAGGGAUCGGGCGAUGUUUCAAUAUUGACUCGCUCGGCACCUUACGAGAAAUCAAAGUGUUUGGGUUCUGGGGGGAGUAUGGUCGCAAGGCUGAAACUUAAAGAAAUUGACGGAAGGGCACCACCAGGCGUAAACGCAGCCGCAGCAGCUCUGCGCCAGAAAGGAGCCAGUAAUGGUCAGUGGUUGCCGACGUUAAAUCCUAGUCCUUCUUUCUUAAAUUUGAAUAGCCUUUGCUCAGAAUGCUAGUUGUAAAUUGAAGAAGGGAGGGCGAGACCCUCAAAUUGCGGGAAACUCGCGAAACAUUUAGGCUACCAAACUAUAUUUCGAAAGAAUGUAGCGGCCAGGUUAAUCGCCUGGGUAUGGUAACAAUGCUUAAUGUAUGUGACAAUCCGCAGCCAAGCCCCUCUAUCAUUAUGAGUGGGGAAGGUUCAGAGACUAAAUGGGGGUCGGCCUGUUAUUUGUGGUUUAUCUGCUGAGAGGUAAAAAGAAGCUAGGAAUCGCGUGAACUACAAACAUCAACAGGUCUAAGAUAUAGUCCGGACCCUUGCUGAAAGGCAGGGGAGCAUUUAUAAUAGGCCGACAAACAUACUUUUGUGUGUUUAUCCGGGAGCCUGCGGCUUAAUUUGACUCAACACGGGGAAACUCACCAGGUCCAGAUGAAAUAAGGAUUGACAGAUUGAGAGCUCUUUCUUGAUUUUUCAGGUGGUGGUGCAUGGCCGUUCUUAGUUCGUGGGGUGACUUGUCAGCUUAAUUGCGAUAACGAACGAGACCUUAACCUGCUAAAUAGCCUGGCUAGCUUUGGUU
rnacentral:rRNA from 1 species